CCUACGGGAGGCAGCAGUAGGGAAUAUUGGACAAUGGGCGAAAGCCUGAUCCAGCAAUGCCGCGUGAGUGAUGAAGGCCUUAGGGUUGUAAAGCUCUUUUACCCGAGAUGAUAAUGACAGUAUCGGGAGAAUAAGCUCCGGCUAACUCCGUGCC
rnacentral:rRNA from 1 species